CCUGAUGAGAUAAAGUUCAAUUACCAACGGCUGAAGACCUAGACAACAGCCCUAAACAAAGUAAGAAGCAUCCACCCUAAAAAGAAAAGGACAACAGAACAACAGAAGGAAGAUCAGAGCCAGGUCCCAGGCUGACAGUCAGCCCUGCAAUUGACGGGUGAUCAAGCAAACCCAGAGGCGGCGUGACACAGCGAGACCUAGGAACUUUGAAUCCAAACUAAACUCCUAUAAAAAGGGAAGGGUGAGAUGAGAGACUUUGGGUAACGUUCUGCUACCAACGUCAAGGAGCAUCGGUGCGCGCCCGACAGAGACCCGGCUCCUCCUCGUGCUCAGCUUUCCUGGCCAGUUAGCUGCCACGAGCUCCGAUCCCAAGCUGCAAACUCAAACUGCAAUCAGGACUGGUAACUAUCCAGCAGCCGCAGAACAUUUUGGUGUGUGUGUGUGUGUGAGUGUAUGUGUAUAAGCAUUAAGGUAUUUGCUAAUAGUUACGGAUUAAUAAUAAAUGUGGCAUCUUUGUCUUAA